rnacentral:SRP_RNA from 1 species
GGGCAGGCUAGGUCGGGAGGUUAGCACUCUCCUGUCGCCGUGAACGUGCUUCACACGGGACCGAAGCCUGGGAAGAGGCAUUGACAAGUCCACAUGUCUUGCGCAGGACGUUGACGUUCUGUCCUGCAGGAUUGACGUUGUGGGAAUCGCGCCAGGCGGGGAACCGAGCAACGCUCACCAUCGCGCUCAAUGCUUGCGGGGGCUCGGAACCGAGGAAUGCGUGAGGUUCAACGUGUGUACUCUCAGUGUACCAUUCUCGGGUGCGCUUGCCC